UGGCAAAGGGUGCUGCCUUUGGCGAACCAGCUUCGCUUACCUGACGUGUGACUCAUAUGUUGAGGUUGUGCAGCCAAUGGUAGAGCAGGAAGCCUCUUUUUUCUUUCUUUGUUUUUUUUUGAUCGCCUUUCUAUGUUAUACAAACGGCGCUCUCUUAUUGGAUAAUUAAUUUUGUGCCAUUCUUCGUUGUGUCUUCUUUCAUUCCUUCUUCUCAUGGACAACUCGUAUAAAAGAAGUUCGCAAGGCAGCGUUGAUACAGGUUUCAACGACGAGUUUUGGAAGUUACAGACGCAGUUGUCCUCUACCACAUCAAGCCAAAAUGAACGCCAAGGCGAUCCUCACAGUACUGGCUGUUUACGCUCUACUCUUUGCAGGCACGUCAGCCUGCGGCGGUGAAGGCCGCUCCGAGUCAGGAAGAUGCGGUUACGGCGAGGCCCGCAGCGAAGAAGGAGCUGCCGUGGCCCGCCUGAGAGAAAUUUCAACGGCCAGCCAGUCAUCUCGCUGACGUGGCCGAUUCGGUCGCUGGGAUGGCUAGCGGCGCCCUCGCAUACGCAGGCGCUUCCCCGCAAAGCCAGCACUAUUUAUCCAACUGUUGGGUGGUGGUUUCAAGUCACUCAGCAGAAAGGUUUCGAAAUAAAUUGGCUUUGCUUCCAUUCUGGCUUUGUUUUUUUCAAUAGUCCACUGUAUCCAAAGUGUAGA